rnacentral:lncRNA from 1 species
GGGUAUAAAAAUGUGCUGAUUUUAUGUUUACAUUUGUGUUUAAAUGGAUCAGCAAGUAUGUUUUCUUAUUGACUCAAAGCGAUUGCAUCUAAAAUAUGAUAACAAGACAGGAUUCUCACUGCCGUAUCUCCCGAUGCCAAUCUCCAAGUGUACUCCAUCUGUGGCCAAGCAAGUCUCAAGUCUAGUUUGAAUCAUCUGUCAGACUGUGUCUUUUCAUUCCUUUGUGAAUGGAGAGGUCAAGGAUUCAAGAAAGUACCUAUCCAUACUUCAGCAUAUUUGCUGUGCCUGUAAAGAUUAUGGAUCCUCCAAAAUAAAAUUAGGUGAACCAAUCAUGAUUUUGGUUGGUCAUUUUUAGGAGUGAACUUGACAU